rnacentral:lncRNA from 1 species
UUCAGCUCCCGUUUUGUCCCAAGAGCUCUGACAGCAGGCCCCACUGUAAGUUGCUGUGAGUCCUAAGACGUCUCCUGGAGAAGAGCUGAGAGAUGUGACCUGAAGUACCCUGAGUGUUAAGUUAGUAGUUUUGACACCGCAGAGUGAUUGCCAUGCUUGAGGACCUAGGAAGAGCCAGGGAUGUACAGCAGGACCUGACGAACUCACGAAAAACAGCCCAGAACAAACAGCAGAAAUGGAGUGGAGAGGCAAAAUCAUGCUUAUUUCAAGUUCAGUGUCUUAGCAUGAUUCCCCAAGAAGAAGUGGACCUGGUUGUCCAUCACUGCAGAAGGCUCUCCCGUGACCAACAGUGA